UACGGGGGGGGCAAGCGUUGUUCGGAAUUACUGGGGGUAAAGGGCGCGUAGGCGGCGCAUUUAGUCAGGCGUGAAAGUCCUGGGCUCAACCUGGGAACUGCGCUUGAUACGGGUGUGCUAGAGGAUGGAAGAGGCUCGCGGAAUUCCCAGUGUAGAGGUGAAAUUCGUAGAUAUUGGGAAGAACACCGGUGGCGAAGGCGGCGAGCUGGUCCAUUACUGACGCUGAGGCGCGACAGCGUGGGGAGCAAACAGG
rnacentral:rRNA from 1 species